rnacentral:rRNA from 1 species
AUUGAACGUUGGCGGCAUGCCUUACACAUGCAAGUCGAACGGCAGCACGGGAGCAAUCCUGGUGGCGAGUGGCGAACGGGUGAGUAAAGUAUCGGAACGUGCCCAGUCGUGGGGGAUAACGUAGCGAAAGUCACGCUAAUACCGCAUACGAUCUAUGGAUGAAAGCGGGGGAUCGCAAGACCUCGCGCGAUUGGAGCGGCCGAUAUCAGAUUAGGUAGUUGGUGGGGUAAAGGCUCACCAAGCCGACGAUCUGUAGCUGGUCUGAGAGGACGACCAGCCACACUGGGACUGAGACACGGCCCAGACUCCUGCGGGAGGCAGCAGUGGGGAAUUUUGGACAAUGGGCGAAAGCCUGAUCCAGCCAUGCCGCGUGCAGGAUGAAGGCCUUCGGGUUGUAAACUGCUUUUGUACGGAACGAAAAGGUUUGGCCUAAUAAGCUGAGCUCAUGACGGUACCGUAAGAAUAAGCACCGGCUAACUACGUGCCAGCCGCCGCGGUAA